GAUGAACGCUGGCGGCGUGCCUAAUACAUGCAAGUCGAGCGAAUGGAUUAAGAGCUUGCUCUUAUGAAGUUAGCGGCGGACGGGUGAGUAACACGUGGGUAACCUGCCCAUAAGACUGGGAUAACUCCGGGAAACCGGGGCUAAUACCGGAUAACAUUUUGAACCGCAUGGUUCGAAAUUGAAAGGCGACUUCGGCUGUCACUUAUGGAUGGACCCGCGUCGCAUUAGCUAGUUGGGGAGGUAUCGGCCCACCAAGGCAACGAUGCGUAGCCGACCUGGGAGGGUGAUCGGCCACACUGGGACUGAGACACGGCCCAGACUCCUACGGGAGGCAGCAGUAGGGAAUCUUCCGCAAUGGACGAAAGUCUGACGGAGCAACGCCGCGUGAGUGAUGAAGGCUUUCGGGUCGUAAAACUCUGUUGUUAGGGAAAAACAAGUGCUAGUUGAAUAAGCUGGCACCUUGACGGUACCUAACCAGAAAGCCACGGCUAACUACGUGCCAGCAGCCGCCGUAA
rnacentral:rRNA from 1 species